UACGUAGGGUGCAAGCGUUGUCCGGAAUUAUUGGGCGUAAAGAGCUCGUAGGCGGCUUGUCACGUCGACUGUGAAAACCCGGGGCUCAACUCCGGGCCUGCAGUCGAUACGGGCUGGCUUGAGUGCGGUAGGGGAGACUGGAAUUCCUGGUGUAGCGGUGAAAUGCGCAGAUAUCAGAAGGAACACCGGUGGCGAAGGCGGGUCCCUGGGCCGUAACUGACGCUGAGGAGCGAAAGCGUGGGGAGCGAACAGG
rnacentral:rRNA from 1 species